rnacentral:lncRNA from 1 species
AAUACUCAACAGAAACUGCUCUGCACUGGCCCCACAUUAGGGGGUUCCUAUCUACGGUUUCUAAAUGUGAGCCCCUUGACACCUGCUGUGGCAGACACAACCAUCCCCAUGGAGGCGCUGAGAACAAUGAAGCACAGACAGGCCAGGGUCACCCAAAGCCGUGAUGACAGCCCGCUUUUCUCUGGUGGUUCUACUCAACCGCUCCACUGAGGUGAUGGGAGAGGUGAGGGGCCCAGGAGGAAGGUGGAGCUCAAAGAUGAGGAAGGGCCACUUGUGCAGAGAAGGGGGCGCCCACAGAGAUUGUGCGGGACUCAUCAAAGACAUCAGGACUCUUGUCCAGUGGCUCAAGGAUGGAAAAGGCCGGGAACUACCGGAAACAAGCACAAAAGAGGCACUCACUGUCCUGGCUUAGGAUGGGGGUACAGAGGCUGUGGUGUGUCCGUGCCUGGCCUGUAAGGAGCACCUGCCACGGGACCUGCAAACCCUCAAAGCAGAAGAAAUGCUGGGCCCCUCUUCUCUCUUGAGAACCCUGUGAUGAUCACUCCAAGGCUCCCCGCAGCUUGGAAAGCAUGUCUGCUCGGGAC